rnacentral:rRNA from 1 species
GACGAACGCUGGCGGCGUGCUUAACACAUGCAAGUCGAACGGUGAAAGCGGAGCUUGCUCCGCUGGAUCAGUGGCGAACGGGUGAGUAACACGUGGGCAACCUGCCCCUGACUUCGGGAUAACUCCUCGAAAGAGGUGCUAAUACCGAAUACGAAUCCUGCAGGCAUCUGCGGGAUUGGAAAGUUUUUCGGUCAGGGAUGGGCCCGCGGCCUAUCAGCUUGUUGGUGGGGUAGUGGCUCACCAAGGCGACGACGGGUAGCCGGCCUGGGAGGGCGACCGGCCACACUGGGACUGAGACACGGCCCAGACUCCUACGGGAGGCAGCAGUGGGGAAUAGUGCGCAAUGGGCGAAAGCCUGACGCAGCAACGCCGCGUGAGGGAUGACGGCCUUCGGGUUGUAAACCUCUUUCAGCAGGGAAGAAGCGAAGGUGACGGUACCUGCAGAAGAAGCACCGGCUAACUACGUGCCAGCCGCCGCCGUAA